ACUCCAUAAGUGUUUAAACCUAUUUAAUCAUUUUUAUGAGAGCAUGUGAUUUAUACAUUAUAUUAUAAAGAGAUCAAAUCAUAUUUUAUUUUUACAUGGAAAGAAAGAAAUCAUGGCUAAAAUUAUGAAGUUUGUUUAUAAUAUGAUUCCAUUUCUGUCCAUAUUUAUUAUCACUUUACAAGUUAAUGGAGUUGUUGUAUGUGAAAUUGAUGCCGAUUGUCCACAAAUUUGUAUGCCUCCUUAUGAAGUAAGGUGUGUUAACCACCGUUGUGGAUGGGUUAACACCGACGAUUCCUUGUUUUUGACCCAAGAGUUUACUAGAUCUAAGCAAUAUAUUAUAUCUUAGAAUAUUUUGUGCGGUGUCAUUUUGUUACUAUGCUAAUGAUUAUGCUGAAUAAAGUAGAUUUUUUGUACCACAUGAUUUAUUCCUUGUUUAUUUCAUGGUUGAACAUAGGUAGUCAUUUCUGUGCAUUUUUGGAGUUGGAAAUAGGGAGAUAAGACUAAAAUUGUAAAAAAUAUGGUAGGACCAAUUUCGUGAGUUGGUCAAAAUCCAAGGACCAAAAAUGUAAUUAAACCUAUUUAUUUCUAUUUCUUUACGGAUUUCACAAAAUUCAUCAUUAUAUUUUAACUGUAAUGAACUCACUCAACAAAUAUACGCGACAAAAACAAAAGUUGGAGUUUAGCCAUGGUUUUCAUCAUAACCGUUCAAUAGAAGAGUGUGAUUUUUUAUUUUUUUUUAACUAUGGUAUUCCCUUAUGUAAAUUCUCUUAUAAAUUGGUAAAAAAAAUAAAAAUAUAACUCAUUGGCUUGAAGAGUAAAUUCUCGUAUUAUUUUUUUAAGGAGAGAGUAACUUCUCUUAUGAAAAUGUUAAAAUAAUAACAAAAUGUUGGAUAAAAAAAAUGAAUUCAUAUGAUUAGAUUUUCUUAAUUCAAAACUCCUUAUUAAGUGUGUUAAAGGGACAAUCACAAGUAGUUGAUGCCAUAAAAAAAAUCUCAAAACAUCCCUUGAAUUGCUUUAAAGAAUGGUGGGUAAUUUACCCACCAACCAAUGAAAAUGAGCAAUUUGUUGGUGGGGUCAAGAUAGUUCAUGGAUAACACUUAAAAAUGUGCUUAUGUGGCUAAUGUGUAUUGGUUGAGGUAAAUUACCCACCAUUCUUCCAUGAGUACCCUAGUUAUCACCUUCAUUUAUUGGCUUUAAUUUUUUUUAGGAAAACGUAGGCAUUAUUCAGUAUAAAUAUAUGAAACCAUAUUCUAAUUUUUACUUGCAAGGAAGGAAAAAAAUGACUAAAAUUGUUGUGUUUAUUUAUGUUGUGAUUCUACUUCUCACCAUAUUUCAUGUCUCAGCAAAAAAAAAAAGAUAUAUUGAAUGUGAAACUCAUGAAGAUUGUUCACAAGUGUUUAUGCCACCUUUUGUCAUGAGGUGUGUUAUUCACGAGUGUAAAAUCUUUAACGGUGAACACCUAAGGUACUAGACCUGAGAGAAUACGA